AAUCAACCUACGCAAAUUUCAAACACUGCCAUAAAAGCAUUUUCGACUCGAGAGCCCGCUGUGUAUACCACGGCGCGAGGCUCCAUGACGACGAAAACCGUCAGCGCAAGUGAAGAGCGAGGUCAGGGGAUCUUGGGUGCCGUCUGCUUCUCGCCUCAGGGCCGUGGAGCUGAGGGCAAUGAUCAACUGUACAU
rnacentral:sRNA from 1 species